UACGGGGGGGGGCAAGCGUUGUUCGGAAUUACUGGGCGUAAAGGGCUCGUAGGCGGCCAACUAAGUCGGACGUGAAAUCCCCAGGCUCAACCUGGGAACUGCGUCCGAUACUGGAAGGCUUGAAUCCGGGAGAGGGAUGCGGAAUUCCAGGUGUAGCGGUGAAAUGCGUAGAUAUCGGAAGGAACAUCAGUGGCGAAAGCGACUUCCUGGACCAAUACUGACGCUCAUGUGCGAAAGCGUGGGGAGCAAACAGG
rnacentral:rRNA from 1 species